CAGUCGAACGAUGAUCCCCAGCUUGCUGGGGGGAUUAGUGGCGAACGGGUGAGUAACACGUGAGUAACCUGCCCUUGACUCUGGGAUAAGCCUGGGAAACUGGGUCUAAUACUGGAUACGACCUUUCACCGCAUGGUGGGGGGUGGAAAGCUUUUGUGGUUUUGGAUGGACUCGCGGCCUAUCAGCUUGUUGGUGGGGUAAUGGCCUACCAAGGCGACGACGGGUAGCCGGCCUGAGAGGGUGGACGGCCACACUGGGACUGAGACACGGCCCAGACUCCUACGGGAGGCAGCAGUGGGGAAUAUUGCACAAUGGGCGCAAGCCUGAUGCAGCGACGCCGCGUGAGGGAUGAAGGCCUUCGGGUUGUAAACCUCUUUCAGUAGGGAAGAAGCGAAAGUGACGGUACCUGCAGAAGAAGCGCCGGCUAACUACGUGCCAGCAGCCGCGGUAAUACGUAGGGCGCAAGCGUUAUCCGGAAUUAUUGGGCGUAAAGAGCUCGUAGGCGGUUUGUCGCGUCUGCCGUGAAAGUCCGGGGCUUAACUCCGGAUCUGCGGUGGGUACGGGCAGACUUGAGUGAUGUAGGGGAGACUGGAAUUCCUGGUGUAGCGGUGAAAUGCGCAGAUAUCAGGAGGAACACCGAUGGCGAAGGCAGGUCUCUGGGCAUUAACUGACGCUGAGGAGCGA
rnacentral:rRNA from 1 species